rnacentral:rRNA from 1 species
AUUGAACGCUGGCGGUAUGCCUUACACAUGCAAGUCGAACGGUAGAGGGGCAACCCUUGAGAGUGGCGAACGGGUGAGUAAUACAUCGGAACGUGCCCAGUCGUGGGGGAUAACGUAGCGAAAGCUACGCUAAUACCGCAUACGACCUGAGGGUGAAAGCGGGGGAUCGCAAGACCUCGCGCGAUUGGAGCGGCCGAUGGCAGAUUAGGUAGUUGGUGGGGUAAAGGCCUACCAAGCCUGCGAUCUGUAGCUGGUCUGAGAGGACGACCAGCCACACUGGGACUGAGACACGGCCCAGACUCCUACGGGAGGCAGCAGUGGGGAAUUUUGGACAAUGGGCGAAAGCCUGAUCCAGCCAUACCGCGUGCGGGAAGAAGGCCUUCGGGUUGUAAACCGCUUUUGUCAGGGAAGAAAUCUUCUGGGUUAAUACCUCGGGAGGAUGACGGUACCUGAAGAAUAAGCACCGGCUAACUACGUGCCAGCCGCCGCCGUAAAAC